rnacentral:rRNA from 1 species
UACGUAGGGUGCAAGCGUUGUCCGGAAUUAUUGGGCGUAAAGAGCUCGUAGGCGGUUUGUCGCGUCUGCUGUGAAAACUCGGGGCUUAACCCCGGGCCUGCAGUGGGUACGGGCAGACUAGAGUACUGCAGGGGAGACUGGAAUUCCUGGUGUAGCGGUGGAAUGCGCAGAUAUCAGGAGGAACACCGGUGGCGAAGGCGGGUCUCUGGGCAGGAACUGACGCUGAGAAGCGAAAGCGUGGGGAGCGAACAGG